UUUUUUUUUUUUUGAAAAUGAACCAUUCCGAAAAAAAAAAAAAAAGAAAAUAAGGCACAACGUUGUCAC
rnacentral:ribozyme from 1 species